rnacentral:lncRNA from 1 species
CCUUCAGCCAGUUUUCUGGGACUCACUCCAUCCUCCUCCUGCACUCCCCCUCUCCCCAUCGUCAGCGCUGUCUCACCUCUUACCUGUCCUUUGGGCUACAGCGGGGAGGGGAGGCUCUCAGCACACCCUGCUGGGGGUGGGAAGAUGCCAGUUACUGGGACCCGGGGUAAGGCUCCUGCUGCAGCAGCUGUUGACUCUGAAGAGCGAAAGGCAGAGGGUGAUGGGGACCGAAAUGGAAAACAGGAAAACACAUGUGCGACUCUGACCGGCGUCAGGGAGGGGCCAGGGGAUGGGCUGGAGCUGGGAUUGCCCAGUCAGACCCAGGGGGCCUGGAUGCUUGCAGCCGCCAGAUUAGCCUAGUCCCACAGAGGGCAUAUGAUUCUUCAGUUGGGUAGCAAAACUUCAUCCAUCCCAAGAGUUUCCAGCAAGCCAAGGAAGAUUAUGUACACCAGGGAGAACCACUUGGUAUAGCCAAACACAUGCCCAGACAUCAAAGCAGCCCAGACUGCAGAUUGGUGCAAGUGGUGUGAACAGUGCCGGGCUCACAGAGAGAAGUCAACAAAUGUCUGCUGGAAGAAUAAGAGAAUGAAUGAACAAUGUUGUUCCUCUUGGAUUUCCCAGCUGGCUGGACUCCUGGGCAGGUCUUUGAAUUCGCCCUGCAGACCCCGUUGUGUUGCUUCCCUUGGCUCUUCAGAACAAAAGAGUAUACAAAAGUGCUUAUCCUUUUUGAUAGAAAUGGGUUGGAACAGUAUGGUUUUCACUUUGACUGGGAGGCCUAGAAUGGUUUGCAAUCGAUUGUUUGUUUCACUAAUGGAG